CAAGAGCGUAUGUAAAAGUUGUUGCAGUUAAAAAGCUCGUAGUUGAACCUUGGGUUUGGUUGGCCGGUCCGCUUUUUUGCGAGUACUGGAUUCAACCGAGCCUUUCCUUCUGGCUAACCAGUCGUUUCGGCGGCUGGCGAACCAGGAUUUUUACUUUGAGAAAAUUAGAGUGUUCAAAGCAGGCAUUAGCUUGAAUAUAUUAGCAUGGAAUAGUAGAAUAGGACGUUAUGGUUCUAUUUUGUUGGUUUCUAGGACCAUCGUAAUGAUUAAUAGGGACGGUCGGGGGCAUCAGUAUUCAGUUGUCAGAGGUGAAAUUCUUGGAUUUACUGAAGACUAACUACUGCGAAAGCAUUUGCCAAGGACGUUUUCAUUAA
rnacentral:rRNA from 1 species